ACUCAAAGGAAUUGACGGGGACCCGCACAAGCGGUGGAUGAUGUGGUUUAAUUCGAUGCAACGCGAAAAACCUUACCCACCUUUGACAUGUACGGAAGUCGCUAGAGAUAGCUUCGUGCUCGAAAGAGAGCCGUAACACAGGUGCUGCAUGGCUGUCGUCAGCUCGUGUCGUGAGAUGUUGGGUUAAGUCCCGCAACGAGCGCAACCCUUGCCAUUAGUUGCUACAUUUAGUUGAGCACUCUAAUGGGACUGCCGGUGACAAACCGGAGGAAGGUGGGGAUGACGUCAAGUCCUCAUGGCCCUUAUGGGUGGGGCUACACACGUCAUACAAUGGCUGGUACAAAGGGUUGCCAACCCGCGAGGGGGAGCUAAUCCCAUAAAGCCAGUCGUAGUCCGGAUCGCAGUCUGCAACUCGACUGCGUGAAGUCGGAAUCGCUAGUAAUCGUGGAUCAGAAUGUCACGGUGAAUACGUUCCCGGGUCUUGUACACACCGCCCGU
rnacentral:rRNA from 1 species